GUGCUUGCUUCCAUAGCACAUAUACUAAAAUUGGGACAAUACAGACAUUAGCAUGUCCCCUGAACAAGGAUGACAUGAAAAAAUCAAAAUAAAUAAAUAAAAUAU